GUGGGGAAUAUUGGACAAUGGGCGAAAGCCUGAUCCAGCCAUGCCGCGUGUGUGAAGAAGGUCUUCGGAUUGUAAAGCACUUUAAGUUGGGAGGAAGGGCAGUAAGUUAAUACCUUGCUGUUUUGACGUUACCGACAGAAUAAGCACCGGCUAACUUCGUGCCAGCUGCCGCGGUAAUACGAAGGGUGCAAGCGUUAAUCGGAAUUACUGGGCGUACAGCGCGCGUAGGUGGUUUUGUAAGUUGGAGGUGAAAUCCCCGGGCUCAACCUGGGAACUGCCUCCAAAACUGCAUGACUAGAGUACGGUAGAGGGUAGUGGAAUUUCGUGUGUAGCGGUGAAAUGCGUAGAUAUAGGAAGGAACACCAGUGGCGAAGGCGACUACCUGGACUGAUACUGACACUGAGGUGCGAAAGCGUGGGGGGCAAACAGGAUUAGAUACCCUUAUAGUCC
rnacentral:rRNA from 1 species